AUCAGGUAGUAAAGAGGGCUCACUAAAAUACCAAUUAGGCUAAAAGCAGGAGGUAAAGAAAUAAUGAAAUCAUCUAUCACCUGAGAGCACAGGGGGAGGGACAAUGAUCGGGAUACAAACCCAGGCAUUUGAGCCAGAUGGGCAAACCCAUUUGGGUCCCCUCCCAUUGUAUGGAAGCUCUGUUUUCACUCUGUUAAAUCUUGCAACUUCACAUUCUUCUGCUCCCUGCUUGUUCCAGCCUGAGCUGAGCUAUCGCUCGCCGUCCACCACUGCUGAUCGCCAUUGUUGCAGACCCGCUGUUGACUUCCACCCCUCUGGAUCUGGCGGGAUGUCUGCUGCGUUUCUGAUCUAGGGAGGCGCCCAUUGCCGCUCCCGUUCAGGCUAGAGGCUUGCGGUUGUUCCUGCGCAGCUAAGGGCCCGGGUUCGUCCUAAUCGAGCUGAACACUAAUCGCUGGGUUUCGCGGUUCUUUUCUGUGACCCACGGCUUCUAAUAGAGCUGUAACACUCACCGCAUGGCCCAAAGUUCCACUCCUUGGAAUCCGUGAGGCCAAGAACCUCAGGUCAGAGAACAAAAGGCUUGCUGCCAUCAUGGGAGUGGCCGCCACUAUCUUGGGAGCGGCCCAUCACCAUCUUGGGAGCUCUAAGAACAAAGACCCACUGGUAACAUUGCCACUGUACUUCAGCCUGGGUGACAGAGACAUCUGGAGCUCUAAGAUUGGACCCCAAAGGAGGACAUUCCAUGGGUUCAGCAAACCUCAAGAGACCCUGUCUCUUAAAUAAGUAAAUGAAUACAUAAAAUAAAAAAAGGUAAACCAUAUACCAGCCGACAAACGAAUACCUGGCAUUAUAAAUGUGAAAUUAUGGCACUGAGGAUGGAAAUAGAAUCUAGAGGCAGGAAACACAAGGCCCAUUCACACUUCAGCUGUAACACAAAAUGUCCUCUCUAUAGGGCAUACCCUGUAAGUGACUUUGUAACUUUACUUCAUCCUCUUCAUUUAGAUAAGCCGUAUCCCAAGUAGAGGGUAUUUAAACUCACAAAAGCUCUGUAACAGGGCCCUUGAGCCCCUAUGCUCAGGCCCGCUCCCACACUGUGGAAUGUACUUUCUUUUUCAAUAAAACCCUUCAUUCAUUCGUUGCUUUGUUUGUGUGUUUUGUCCCAUUCUUUGUUCAGGAUGCCAAGAACCUGGACCCCCACCUCCGCCACCAUUAACAUAUUUUGGCGAGCCAUCCUGGAGGAAGAGUAAAGCAGGGUCAGCAGGGUUGCCAGGGCUGCUCAGGGAGAGAGAACCCAGGAAUCUAGCAUGCCGGCAAAAGGGUAAGAAUUUCUUACCAGUCAGUCACUGGCCUGUUUCUCUCUGUGCAAACUGGUUAAAUAUAAAGUAAAAGCCACUGUUUAUCUCUUCUGCAAAGUUUUAAUUAAUUGGUUUAAUAAUAAUAAUGGCUUAAAUCAAAUGCUUUGUCAGAAAAAAA
rnacentral:lncRNA from 10 species